rnacentral:rRNA from 1 species
UGGGGAAUUUUGGACAAUGGGCGCAAGCCUGAUCCAGCAAUGCCGCGUGCAGGAUGAAGGCCUUCGGGUUGUAAACUGCUUUUGUACGGAGCGAAAAGGUCUGCCCUAAUACGGUGGGCUCAUGACGGUACCGUAAGAAUAAGCACCGGCUAACUACGUGCCAGCAGCCGCGGUAAUACGUAGGGUGCGAGCGUUAAUCGGAAUUACUGGGCGUAAAGCGUGCGCAGGCGGUUAUAUAAGACAGAGGUGAAAUCCCCGGGCUCAACCUGGGAACUGCCUUUGUGACUGCAUAGCUAGAGUACGGUAGAGGGGGAUGAAAUUCCGCGUGUAGCAGUGAAAUGCGUAGAUAUGCGGAGGAACACCGAUGGCGAAGGCAAUCCCCUGGACCUGUACUGACGCUCAUGCACGAAAGCGUGGGGAGCAAACA